GACGAACGCUGGCGGCGUGCCUAAUACAUGCAAGUCGAGCGAAGCGGCGGACGGGUGAGUAACACGUAAGGAACCUACCGAUAAGCGGGGGACAACAUCCGGAAACGGGUGCUAAUACCGCAGACUUAUCGAUGGCCUUGCGGUGCAUUAGCUCGUUGGGGGGGUAACGGCCUACCAAGGCAAUGAUGCAUAGCCGACCUGAGAGGGUAAUCGGCCACAUGGGGACUGAGACACGGCCCAAACGCCUACGGGAGGCAGCAGUAGGGAAUCUUGCGCAAUGGGCGCAAUCCUGACGGAGCAACGCCGCGUGAGUGAAGAAGGUGUUCGGAUCGUAAAGCUCUGUUGGAGGAGAAGCGGUAUCUUACCAGAAAGCAACGGCUAACUACGUGCCAGCAGCCGCGGUAAUAC
rnacentral:rRNA from 1 species